GGGCUUGUAGCUCAGACUGGGAGAGCACACGGCUGAAGACCGUGGUGUCCAGGGUUCAAAUCCCUGCAAGCUCA
rnacentral:tRNA from 1 species